UGCGCAAUAGUACAGCUGGUAGUAUCUCUGACUGUCCAUCAGAUGACCCGAGUUCAAUUCUCGGUUGCGCAG